AGCAGCCGCGGUAAUUCCAGCUCCAAUAGCGUAUAUUAAAGUUGUUGCAGUUAAAAAGCUCGUAGUUGAAUUUCGGGAUUUGUCAGUUGGUCGGGCUUCACUGUCCGUAUUGACUUGAUGGAUUCUUACCUUCUGAAUAACCAGCAUGCUAUUAAGUUAGUGUGUUGGGGAAGCAGAUCUAUUACCUUGAGAAAAUUAGAGUGCUUAAAGCGAGCUAAUGCUUGAAUAGAUUAGCAUGGAAUAAUAAAAUAGGACGGCAUGGUUCUAUUUUGUUGGUUUCUAGGAUCACCGUAAUGAUUAAUAGGGAUAGUUGGGGGCAUUAGUAUUCAAUUGUCAGAGGUGAAAUUCUUGGAUUUAUUGAAGACUAACUUCUGCGAAAGCAUUUGCCAAGGAUGUUUUCACUAAUCAAGAACGAAAGUUAGGGGAUCGAAGACGAUCAGAUACCGUCGUAGUCUUAACCAUAAACUAUGCCGACUAGGAAUCGGACGAUGUUAAUUUUAUAAUGACUCGUUCGGCACCU
rnacentral:rRNA from 1 species